rnacentral:rRNA from 1 species
AGAGUUUGAUCCUGGCUCAGGAUGAACGCUAGCUACAGGCUUAACACAUGCAAGUCGAGGGGCAGCAUGAACUUAGCUUGCUAAGUUUGAUGGCGACCGGCGCACGGGUGAGUAACACGUAUCCAACCUGCCGAUGACUCGGGGAUAGCCUUUCGAAAGAAAGAUUAAUACCCGAUGGCAUAGUUCUUCCGCAUGGUAGAACUAUUAAAGAAUUUCGGUCAUCGAUGGGGAUGCGUUCCAUUAGGUUGUUGGCGGGGUAACGGCCCACCAAGCCUUCGAUGGAUAGGGGUUCUGAGAGGAAGGUCCCCCACAUUGGAACUGAGACACGGUCCAAACUCCUACGGGAGGCAGCAGUGAGGAAUAUUGGUCAAUGGACGAGAGUCUGAACCAGCCAAGUAGCGUGAAGGAUGACUGCCCUAUGGGUUGUAAACUUCUUUUAUAUGGGAAUAAAGUGAUCCACGUGUGGAUUUUUGUAUGUACCAUAUGAAUAAGGAUCGGCUAACUCCGUGCCAGCAGCCGCGGUAAUACGGAGGAUCCGAGCGUUAUCCGGAUUUAUUGGGUUUAAAGGGAGCGUAGGCGGACGCUUAAGUCAGUUGUGAAAGUUUGCGGCUCAACCGUAAAAUUGCAGUUGAUACUGGGUGUCUUGAGUACAGUAGAGGCAGGCGGAAUUCGUGGUGUAGCGGUGAAAUGCUUAGAUAUCACGAAGAACUCCGAUUGCGAAGGCAGCUUGCUGGACUGUAACUGACGCUGAUGCUCGAAAGUGUGGGUAUCAAACAGGAUUAGAUACCCUGGUAGUCCACACAGUAAACGAUGAAUACUCGCUGUUUGCGAUAUACAGUAAGCGGCCAAGCGAAAGCGUUAAGUAUUCCACCUGGGGAGUACGCCGGCAACGGUGAAACUCAAAGGAAUUGACGGGGGCCCGCACAAGCGGAGGAACAUGUGGUUUAAUUCGAUGAUACGCGAGGAACCUUACCCGGGCUUAAAUUGCAAAGGAAUAAUCUGGAAACAGGUUAGUCUUCGGACCUUUGUGAAGGUGCUGCAUGGUUGUCGUCAGCUCGUGCCGUGAGGUGUCGGCUUAAGUGCCAUAACGAGCGCAACCCUCGCCGCCAGUUACUAACAGUUAAAGCUGAGGACUCUGGCGGGACUGCCAUCGUAAGAUGUGAGGAAGGUGGGGAUGACGUCAAAUCAGCACGGCCCUUACGUCCGGGGCUACACAC